rnacentral:rRNA from 1 species
CAGUAGCCACGGGAAUACGAAGGGUGCAAGCGUUAAUCGGAAUUACUGGGCGUAAAGCGUGCGUAGGCGGUGAGUUAAGUCUGCUGUGAAAUCCCCGGGCUCAACCUGGGACCUGCAUUUGUGACUGUAUAGCUAGAGUACGGUAGAGGGGGAUGGAAUUCCGCGUGUAGCAGUGAAAUGCGUAGAUAUGCGGAAGAACACCGAUGGCGAAGGCAAUCCCCUGGACCUGUACUGACGCUCAUGCACGAAAGCGUGGGGAGCAAACAGGAUUAGAUACCCCGGUAGUCCCUGUCUCUUAUAC